rnacentral:rRNA from 1 species
CACUUAUAGAUGGACCCGCGCCGUAUUAGCUAGUUGGUAAGGUAACGGCUUACCAAGGCAACGAUAUGUAGCCGACCUGAGAGGGUGAUCGGCCACACUGGAACUGAGACACGGUCCAGAGUCUUACGGGAGGCAGCAGUAGGGAAUCUUCCGCAAUGGGCGAAAGCCUGACGGAGCAACGCCGCGUGAGUGAUGAAGGUCUUAGGAUCGUAAAACUCUGUUGUUAGGGAAGAACAAAUUUGUUAGUAACUGAACAAGUCUUGACGGUACCUAACCAGAAAGCCACGGCUAACUACGUGCCAGCAGCCGCGGUAAUACGUAGGUGGCAAGCGUUAUCCGGAAUUAUUGGGCGUAAAGCGCGCGUAGGCGGUUUCUUAAGUCUGAUGUGAAAGCCCACGGCUCAACCGUGGAGGGUCAUUGGAAACUGGGGAACUUGAGUGCAGAAGAGGAGAGUGGAAUUCCAUGUGUAGCGGUGAAAUGCGCAGAGAUAUGGAGGAACACCAGUGGCGAAGGCGGCUCUCUGGUCUGUAACUGACGCUGAUGUGCGAAAGCGUGGGGAUCAAACAGGAUUAGAUACCCUGGUAGUCCACGCCGUAAACGAUGAGUGCUAAGUGUUAGGGGGUUUCCGCCCCUUAGUGCUGCAGCUAACGCAUUAAGCACUCCGCCUGGGGAGUACGACCGCAAGGUUGAAACUCAAAGGAAUUGACGGGGACCCGCACA